ensembl:Mt_tRNA
GUAGAUAUAGUUUAACAAAAACACUAGAUUGUGAUUCUAGAAACAGAGGUUAAAAUCCCCUUAUCCACC